rnacentral:rRNA from 1 species
GUGGGGAAUAUUCCGCAAUGGACGAAAGUCUGACGGAGCAACGCCGCGUGAGUGAUGAAGGUUUUCGGACUGUAAAGCUCUGUUGUUUAGGACGAAAGUGCCUGUUGCAAAUAGUUACAGGUAUUGACGGUACUGAACGAGGAAGCCACGGCUAACUACGUGCCAGCAGCCGCGGUAAUACGUGGGUGGCAAGCGUUGUCCGGAAUUAUUGGGCGUAAAGAGCAUGUAGGCGGGAAUCUAAGUCUGUUGUGAAAAUGCGGGGCUCAACCCCGUAUUGCGAUGGAAACUGGGUUUCUUGAGUGCAGGAGAGGAAAGGGGAAUUCCCAGUGUAGCGGUGAAAUGCGUAGAUAUUGGGAGGAACACCAGUGGCGAAGGCGCCUUUCUGGACUGUGUCUGACGCUGAGAUGCGAAAGCCAGGGUAGCGAACGGGAUUAGAAACCCGAGUAGUCC